rnacentral:lncRNA from 1 species
AAGUUGUAGAUUUUGUAUUGAUUACCGGUACUGGAAUAUUAGUACCGGUACGCAAUACAAAAUGUGAAAUUCGAGCUCUCGAAUUUUGAGGAAUUAAACCUUAGUACCGAUACUGAAAUUGUUUUGGGUAUCGGUACUGAAAAUCGAGUAUCGGUACGCAGUAGAAAAAAAUGGGAAAUCUAACGUUUGGGUUCUGAGGUACCGAGAAUCGGGUACCGGUACUGGCUGCCCGAGUACCGGUACGCCAGUUCGAGUACCGGUAUUCAGCCUGGCAGAGUGCAGUUUUAGAAGGGUAAUAUGGUAAAUUCAUUGGGGGUUUAUAAAAGAGGG